GUGACUAUACCUGCUGAUUACCACGUUAUCUAGGCUCAGUGACGAGUCGUAGUUUCGGCCAAAAUGCGUAUUCUUGCGUAUUUUGUAACCAAACUACUCUUAGGUAUCAAAACCGUUUGUUUUGAUACCAAACCUAUUUUCUAAACUUAGUUAAGCAUGUUUUAACAUGCUUAGCUCGUCACUUUUAGUUUAGUGCUUAUAUAGGGUCGUAAGGUAAGCGAUCUAAACAAUCGCUUAUACUUUCGAACCCGACCCGUUUGGUCGAUCAUUAGGAUCCGACCAAACACAAUAGGUGACCAUAGUUGUAUAGGGAAUAACCUUCCAAGGUUAUACCUUAUGGUCACAUUGUUUGAGUAGUUGUAUGAUAGGUAGUAUAUAUGCCUUAGGUAAAUUACCAGAAUGCCCUUUUUACGCCAAAAUUCAUUUUAAGCAUAUGAAACAUAACUUUUGGUAUCUUAACUGAUUUGGUAACAAUAUUAGACAUGUUAAGGCAUAUUUUACUUAUCAUAGGACUAGUUAGGCAUUCCAAACGCAUUUCACGCGAACGACGCGUUAAAGUAGCAUAAGCUACCUAAACGGGUCAUGCAGUGAUUGUUUUUAAUGUUUAAAUACUUGAAUGAAAAAAUGAUAUGCAACUUGUAGAAUGUAUGAAUGUUUGAAUGUAACUUGUAAAACGUAUCUAUCGCUAGUGGUUUGCAAGGCCACUAACAUGUGUCACGACAUAGGAAGUCACCAAACCUAG
rnacentral:lncRNA from 1 species